AGUGAGGAAUAUUGGUCAAUGGGCGCAAGCCUGAACCAGCCAUCCCGCGUGAAGGAAGACGGCCCUAUGGGUUGUAAACUUCUUUUGUACAUGAAGAACGUCUCUUACGUGUAAGAGAGUGACGGUAAUGUACGAAUAAGAAUCGGCUAACUCCGUGCCAGCAGCCGCGGUAAUACGGAGGAUGCAAGCGUUAUCCGGAUUUAUUGGGUUUAAAGGGUACGUAGGUGGCCAGUUAAGUCAGUGGUGAAAACCUGUCGCUCAACGAUAGGCGUGCCAUUGAAACUGAUUGGCUUGAGUACAGAUGAGGUAAGCGGAAUGUGUAGUGUAGCGGUGAAAUGCAUAGAUAUUACACAGAACUCCGAUUGCGAAGGCAGCUUACUAAACUGACACUGACGCUGAGGUACGAAAGCGUGGGUAGCGAACAGGAUUAGAUACCCUGGUAGUCCACGCUGUAAACGAUGCUCACUCGCUGUAUGCGAUACACAGUAUGCGGCCAAGCGAAAGCGAUAAGUGAGCCACCUGGGGAGUACGCCGGCAACGGUG
rnacentral:rRNA from 1 species